rnacentral:lncRNA from 1 species
AUUCUUAUCACCGCUGCCUUAAUUUUAAACUCCACAACACAAUUCAAUUAAGCUAUUAAUGAAGUUCAUAAAACUUUUUCACUAUACCACAAUUACACACAUAGAACAAUGUCAUCACCUUUUAGCAGUACGAGCCAGUUUGUGUUUAGUCCUCAGUUCCCGCUCUGACAUCUGUUGAACACAAAACCUCCAUCUCUAGAAAACCAAACAGCCACAGAAACAUUACUUAACUGAAAAAACUCAAAUAUGAAAUUGAUAAUCUUUGCUUGUAGACAUAACUCUGAAACUCUUCCAAAUCGUUUACAUUUGAAUCCAAUAAAGGACGAGGCGAUCACGACCUCAUUGAUCAACCCUAUGACUCAUUCACUAUAUUUAAGAGAUGAAGACUAAACCCUAGAUCCCAAUCCACUCGGUAAACCCAAUGACUCAUACCCUACAAAACAUACAUAUUCUGGUGAGAAAUCUUAAAAUUUCAUAGCAUCAUGUGAUAAAUUACACUGACAUGCAACACAAUUAAAAAUGAGAAGACGAUGGUGUGUCAGAUUUACUCGCCGGUGGACCUCGCCGUCCCUUAAGGCCAUUAGAGGAACAAUCCGAAUUGUUUUCGGACGCCGAUAUCAAUGACCGAGAAAACCGAAUCGUCAAAUCGAGAAGAAUUUUAAUUUUUACCCGAUACCAACAAAUAUUGGUCUCGGAGACCAAGAAAUCUGGUGGUUUAGCCCGAAAAAUCCAACCAUUUAAGGUGAAUUGAUUUAUUUAGCCGGAUUUAUCAAGAAUCGGUUCAGAUUUCACCUGAGAUGGUCGAUAGAGAAGGAAGAGAUAUUCGGCGAGAAAAAGAAAGAAACUAUGAAAGAAAUAAUAAUUUUUCCUAUUCAUUUUACUCAUCACGCAAUCACAAUUAGACAAUGGCGGUGCUUAAUCG